AUGGCUUCUUCCGGUUCCGUGACGAGGCCACCAUGUGCUAACCGCGAGGACAUGCCGGACAGGUGGACAGACGCCGAGUUGGAUAAGGUGAAGGACAAAGAUAUGAGAACUCCAUCAUGUUGGUGUGGAGAUGUUUGCAAAGUUAAGUCCACCGACCGCAAGAAAUCAUGGACGGAAGGAAGAAGAUAUUUUGUUUGUCCCAACUAUGCCUACGAUCGUCCUCGUCCAGCUCACACCGAUGGUGUACCGCCGGUAAGUUGUUCUGUUGGGGAUCGUAGCAGAAUUUUAAAAUUUUCCUACGCUCACCAAGAUCCAUCUAUGGAGUAUACUAGCAACGAGGGGAAAGGAGUGCAUCUACAUACCCUUGUAGAUCGCGAGCGGAAGCGUUCCAAUGAACGUGGUUGA
rnacentral:rRNA from 1 species